ensembl:lncRNA
ACACCAUGAGAAAGCGACUUCAGAGGUGGUAUUCUGGCUGUGGCACCUGCUCCUGGAGGAUCAGCUGUCCCAGGACAUGCUGGGGCCAGACAGGGCAGGGGCGGUGGCGGCUGAAUGAGUCUGGCCUGAGAUUCAAUCGGGUGACCUGGGCACAGUUGAGUUUUAUCAGGUAUCUGUUAAGCACCUACUCCUUGUCAGCAUUGUGGUCUGUGCUAAAAAAGCACCGAAGAAUGAGAUAGACUUGAUCAAACCCUUCCUGAAGCUUACUGAAGAAGAAAGAUUCAACUGACAAGCCUGUGAGUCCUAAAAGAAGAAAUGCAGAUUGCUAAGGCAGCAAGGAUUGGGGACUUCACUGAAUCUUGGGGGGUCAAGAAGGGGUCCCCAGAAAGGUGAUGCUCUUGCAGAGACUUGAUGCACAUAAAAGGAGCUUGGGACUUUGGAAGUGGUUUUAAACAUCAGUUCUUGCACCCUCUGCCUGGGAUCGUUUUCUCACCAACACCUGCUGGCUUUGAAUGAAACUCCCUCCCCCUUUAGGGAACUUAUGCAGCUGAAGAGAAAUGGAUGCUGGGAACUGCUUCCAGGGACCUGGAAAUUGAUGAAGACACACACAAGGUAACGGACACGGGGCCAGCUGCGACAUUUUCUGUGUGCCUUAAUGAGGAGUGCUGGGGCUGUGCUACUAAGAGCUGAACUCUUGGCCCAGCUCACCCGGCUGAAGGAGAAGGGGGAGAAGCUGGCAGACUGCGGCGCUUUGUGAGGAGAAAACAAAUGGGCCUGUAACUUGAUCGAGGUGGCGAGGGGAGGCGGCCAGGGCUCUAGGGAUGAAGAAUAGCUUCUCAGAGUAUUGUCAGGGGGAGGAGGCAGCCAGCAGAGCUGACUGCGGGGCUGGCGCGUGGUCUGCCAGCUUGAGCAUCCUUGGGCUGCCAUGCCCACCUGUCUGGAGCACCUUCUAUGGGUCAGGGACAUUUGCAGAGGGUAGGAGGUAGUCCUUGCAGCAACCGCACCUGGUGAGGAGUAUUUCUACCCCUGUUUUCUAGAUGAGACUCCUGAGGCUCAGAGAAGUGAAGUAGCUUGCCUGAGGCCACACAGCCAGUCAGUGGUGAAGGCAGGGCUUAUAUCCAGCUCUGUAUGUCUUUAGAGUGAUAUUUCUUCCACUGUCUCUUGCUGCCUGACAAUUUUGGGGGGCAAUGGUUCCUUCUGAAUUUUCUACAUGUAAUAAUGACAGUAAGAAUCCCUUUCAAGGGAUAUAUUUCACAAAGAGUCCUCUUGCAAAUGCCAUUUCACAGCGUCUUUAUAGUGUUUUCCCUUUGAGGUGAAAUGUUAUCCUCAAAUUUGAGCUGAGGACAUAGAAACACAGCCAGGCGGGCAGCUCCCCUAAAUGCCACUCAGCAAGGAGCUGAGACUGGCGAGGCCAAAUGGCAGGCACUUGCUACCAUUGUAUGGAGACCCAGGUGGGCUCCUCAGGUGUUCGACGAGACCCAGAGUAUCUCCCACUCCUUCAAAUGAGAAGCCCAAGACAAACAGUUUGUUUUUCUAACACGCUCAGAGCCUCUGCUUUGUUUCUAACCUUUGAUAAAGCCAGCAGCCCAAAUCCCCUUUCCUGUGCCCCUCCUCCCGAGAAAGGGAUGGCCAGCCAUGUGUAUUUUUCACUGGGGCUCUCACAAAGAAUGCUGCAUAUAAUAUGAAACAUGUGUCAUGGUGUUUGCUGGAGGGCCCCACCCCAUGCCCUUCCCUGCGCUGUGGGAGCCUCCGGUGUGGGGGGAUGGGAGGGGGUCAGAGCCCCAGACACCUAGAGCAUUUCUCCCGAACCGGAACUGCCCCCACCUGCAGGCAGAGCUGGUACCCAGCUCCAUCAUCCAUCUCAUCUCACUUCCCCAUUGGAGACCUUGUCACCCCACGUUUGCGUUUCUGGCAAUGUGUUGUGAGCCCGGCCUCAAACUCAGAUGUGUGAAUUUCAGCUGGAAACGUACAUGGGCUGCGCUCAAUAACAUCUGUGGGGUAAAUUAUAGGGUGAAUAGGGGAUGAACCGCUCUUCCUCCCAUCUCCCGGAAGUUGGCGCGCUGUGAUAUUGCUGAAGGAAAGAAUAAGUGCUCUGUGAUGGGGCUGUCACUAUUUUUGCCAUUCCCUUCUUAGGAGACAGGAUUGUUGGGAGCCCUGGUCCUUGAACCGGGAGCAGGUGUUAGAAUCACCUGUAGGCUCGUUAAAGCAUAGAUGGCUAGCCCCACCCCUCAGGGUGUAUUUUUGCAUCUUUAACACGUUCCUGGUGGAUGAGAUGCUGCUGCUUCAGGGGCGUGGGAGCUCAGAUGGUCUUUUUCAAGUGGGGUGCGGAUGGAGCCCAAGAGAAAAAAGAAACAGAAGAGAGAGUGACUGUCUGGUGGUGUGGUGUCUGAUGGUGUCUCAAGGGCACAGGGAUCAGCAUAGACCAGAGCCACCAGGACGGGCCUCCUGGAUGUGUGGUGGUGAAGGACGCAAGGGAUUUGGAAAGUAAAAGGAAGGAGAGCUUUGGGCGCAGGCCGGUGCGGAGGCAGUGUUGAGAUGAGACCAGCCUGCAGAGGGAGGGGGACGAAAACAACCUUCCUCAUCAGGGUUGCCUGGAGUUUACACUCUCCAAACCCCCUGCACAGAGCCCAGACAGCCUGGCAGGGCAGGGGUCACCUUCCCAUCUCCAAGGAGGAAACCAGCACAGGGGGUCAUGGGAAUUGAGGAAGGAGGGCCCAGGGCCACAAGCUUUGGCAGCUUAUUCUCUUACAACGGGUUGACCUUUCCCCUGUUUGAAAGCUCUUUGCAGCUGCUUUCCCCAGGGUGAGCAAUGCAGUCUAAGCCUUGGCAGGAAUCAUGGUUUCUCUCACCUGAUUUUUUUUCUUGUUCCAGUUUGCACUUACAAAUGUCAUCAACACAGAAACCACUGUUGCCCUCCUUAUGCCAUUGGCUGGUGACUGUCUCCUCUUCCUGGUUCCUAAAACCUAUGAGGGUCACCCCAUAGCCCUGGAGAAGAGGAGGGAAUGGAGAAAUCUGGACUGCAAAUUCACCCUGUAUCAGCACCACGUUUGGCAUGUUUAUACAGGAGAUCUCACUUAGCCUACAGAGCCCAGGGCAUGUAGAGACAAGGUCGCUGAAGCUCAUGCUGAGGGUAAAGCUCAGGCUCAAGGUUAAACCCCUAGCUUGAGCUCUUGUUGUUAGCUGGUGGAGCUGAUAUCCAGCCUCCAAUCUGUUUGAGUUCAGAUGAGCCAAAUAAAUAGCUGGUUAUAAAAGGCCAGAAACUGGAGCCUUACCUGAUAUCAGUGCACACUGGGAAAAGGUUUCCAGAACACCCUGUGCUGUUUUUGCAGGGUCACACCUUUGCACAUGCUGGCCUCCUUUCCAAACUUUCCAGCCUCUCCUGCACUCAAGCUCCCCUUCAUCCUUCAAGCAGCCCCAUGAUGCCUCUGAGGUCCCCCACCUGCAGAGGUGCCUCUCUUCCAAGUUCCCCUUUCUUGUAUUUCUCCUUAACAUGGAAUUUAGCACCAUCUAUCAUAAUGGGUGUUUUCUUGGGCUUUUUUUCAACUGACUCUAAACUCAACUGCAUAUGUCUUUUUGAAUUACAGUUUUCUCUGGAUAUACGCCCUGAAGUGAGAUUGCUGGAUCAUAUGGCAAAUCUAUUUUUAGUUUUUUGAGUAUUCUCCAUACUGUUUUCCAUAGUGGCUGUACCAGUUUACAUUUCCACCAGCAGUGUAGGAGGGUUCCCUUUUCUCCACAUCCUGUCCAGCAUUUAUUAUUUGUAGAUUUUUAAAAUGGUGGCUAUUCCGACUGGAGUGAGGUGGUACCUCAUUAUAGUUUUGAUUUGCGUUUCUCUAAUAAUUAGUGAGGGGGUUCCCGUUGUGGCUCAGUGGAAACAAAACUGGCUAGUAUCCAAGAGGAUGCAAAUUUGAUCCCUGUCCCCUUUCAGUGGAUUAAGGAUCUGGCGUUGCUGUGAGCUGCAAUGAAGUUUGCAGAUGCAGCUCAGAUGUGGCGCUGUGGCUGUGGCUGUGGCUGUGGCGUAGGCUAGCAGCUGCAGCUCCGAUUUGACCCCUAGCCUAGGAACUUCCAAAUACCAUGGGUGCGGCCCUAAAAAGACAAAAAUAAUUAGUGAUGUUGAGCAUCGCUUCAUGUGCCUAUUGGCCAUCUGUAUGUCUUCUUUGGAGAAAUGUCUAUUUAGGUCUUUUUGCCCAUUUUUUGAUUGGGUUGUUUUUUUGGUGUUGAGUUGUAUGAGCUGUUUGUAUAUUUUGGAAAUUAAGCCCUUGUGAGUUACAUUAUUUUGCAAAUACUUUCUCCAAGUCUGUAGGUUGUUUUCUUCAUUUUGUUUAUAGUUUCCUUUGCUGUAUGAAAGCUUAUAAAUUUGAUUAUGUCUCAUUUGUUUGUAUUUGAUUUUAUUUCUAUUGCCUUGGGAAACUGACCUAAGAAAACAUUGCUACGAUUUAUGUCAGGAAAUGUUUUGCUUAUGUUCUCUUCUAGGAGUUUUAUCGUGUCAUGUCUUAUAUUUAAGUCUUUAGGCCAUUUUGAGUUUAUUUUUGUGUACAUUGUGAGGGUGUGUUCUAACUUCAUUGAUUUACGUGCAGCUGUCCAACUUUCCCAAUACCACUUGCUGAAGAGACCCUUUUUUCCCUUGUAUAUUCCUGCCUCCUUUGUUGAAGAUUAAUUGACUGUAGGUGUGUGGGUUUAUUUCUGGGCUAUUUUGUUUCAUUGAUCCAUAUGACUCUUUCUGUGCCAAUACCGUGCUGUUUUGAUUACUGUAGCUUUAAAGUAUUGUCUGAAGUCUGGAAAGGUUAUGCUUCCUGCUUUCUUCUUGUUCCUCAAGAUUGCUUUGGCAAUUCUGGGUCUUUUAUGGUUCCAUAUAACUUUUAGGAUCAUUCUAGUUCAAUGAAAAAUGUCAUGGGUAAUUUGAUAGGGAUUGCAUUAACUCUGUAGUUUGCUUUGGGUAGUAUGUCAACUGCCCAGAUUUUCUAUUUAGAAUUUGUGUUACUCUCUGAUGAUCAACCCUGGAGACUGCUAACCACCUGCCUGAUACCCAUUCUCUUCAUCUUGCAUACUGAUUUUAGUGAAUUGGAGAGUGCAAGAUGCCCAGUUAAAAAGGACAUUUCCCAGCCUCCUUAGAAGCAAGGGGUGGCCCUGUGACUAGGUAUUGGCCAAAUGAGAUAGAAGAUGAAGUUUUGGGGUGGGAUGUGGGGAAAGCCCCUUAAAAAGGGAAGGGGAUAUGGAAGACAUAGGUUUUUUUAAAAAAUUUUCCUUUUAGAACAGAACAUGAUGAUAAUAGAAUUGCAGAAGCAAUCUUGGACUAUGAGAGAACUUUGAGGGUAGAUGUAUGCUGAGGAUGGAGGAGCAGAAAGAUGGAAGGCGCUGGGGUUCUUAAAGGCCAUAGAUCCUAAGUUGCCUUCUUCUGGACCUCUUCCAUGAGAAAAAAAUAGACUUCUAUUUUUGUUUAAGUCAUUCUUAUCAGUUUCUGAUUAUUUAUGUGAAGAUGCAGGAAGGAAAGUAAGGUGUCAUCAGUUCUGGGCCUGGUGGGCUAGGAUGUUUUCAGAAAUAGAGUCCAGAAAGCUGCCAGAGGUAGUGCCUGCCUGAAUGGGGGUGCCUGUGGGCCAGAGGGCAGCUCGUGGCUGUGGGGUCCUGGUUCUCUCACCAGCACCACCUCCCACCCAGCUCCACCGAGUAGGAACAAGGCAGGACUUGGAGACUGGGGAGGGUGGGAGUGGGGGGUGGGCACAGCCACCUUGGGCUCAUCUCAGCAUUGCAUUUGGGGACUUUGAAUGGACUUCAGAGACCCAGAGUCUCUGUCAGACCUGAGGGUUGUCUACCCAGCAGCCACUUCUGUGAUGGUUUUGUUGUCAAAACACUGAUUUUGCUGCUCAAUUUGGUAACUCCUUUUCCUUUUUCCUGAUGUGUUUAGAAAAGGGACGUAUGAUCCUUCGUCAUGUCCCUGCCCACCCCCUUAUGAAAUACAAGGGGCUUGUCUGAGAAAGUUCUCCAUACUCUCUUCCUAAGAAGCAGCUCAAGACAAACCCUGAUCGUCUCUUGCCUUUGGGCAUUACUGAGUGAAUGUGUGAAGUUUGGAGUCACAGGAGUUCUCUUAACACCAUUAGAAAAAAAAAAUCAGGAGUUUCCGUCGUGGCGCAGUGGUUAACGAAUCCGACUAGGAACCAUGAGGUUGCGGGUUCGGUCCCUGCCCUUGCUCAGUGGGUUUACGAUCCAGCGUUGCCGUGAGCUGUGGUGUAGGUCGCAGACGCGGCUCUGAUCCUGCGUUGCUGUGGCUCUGGUGUAGGCUGGUGGCUACAGCUCCGAUCCAACCCCUAGCCCGGGAACCUCCAUAUGCCGCAGGAGCGGCCCAAGAAAUAGCAAAAAGCCAAAAAAAAAAAAAAAAAAAAAA